GAACUGUCCGACCCAGCGGGAGCGCGGGCUGAGCGGCCGGUAGCGGGCUCCACGCUCGGCGCCUGCGCGCCCGGCCUCGCCCAGAAAGUUAAAGGCAGCUGCUAUUCGAUCCGUUAACAUCUGUCAAACUUCAGAGGUAUACCACGGCUUCCAGUUCUCCAGUAAGAAUCUAAUAUCUCCCCUCACAUCCGAAGAGCCACAAGAGCUCAUCUUUAAUCUACUGAGAUCAGACUUGUGACCAUCUCAAUUUGUAAGUUUGGGAUUGACUUGACAUGAUAUCUAUGGACAUAAACACCCAAACACAAGGCUAAAAACCAUCCCUCAGCGAACACUUUCAUUAUUCAACUGGACUCUAAAGUGACCCCAUGUAAAUUAUAUAGUCAUAAAUCAGUUGUUUGAACUUUAGCUGCGACAUUCCCAGAGGAACUAACAGCUACAAGCAGGGUCAAGUGAAGCAAAAAGGACUUUGCCUAGAGAGACUGGCAAUGUGGAGUCUGCCAUACUCAUCCCACAUCUGUAAUCAACACCCUUGUCAUUCUUUUAAUUAAAGCAUACCACCUUUGUACUUAACACAAUACCUAUACUCUUCAGCUGUCUAGGCCAUGUGAGUGGGGCCCAUUCUGAAGCUGGCAUGAGUUGGACCAAACUUCUGAUGGCUAAAAGGGAAAUGGGCACUGUUGGAGAUUGGGCAUCUAUACACUUUGUCUAAAGUGCAUGCCUGGGCUUUCAUAGAGUGAUUUUAACAGAACUUGGGGAAUUAUUUGACUUACCAUUCUAUGUUUUACCAAGUUACUUGUGUAAGACAGUGAUCUAGAUCAAUAAAAUCUUAACAACAGCAACCUUUCUAAUUAUAAAAUUUCUUUUACAUUCGUUUAUACAUUUGUGUAUAUGUGCACAUGUAUGCCAUGGAGCCUGGAGGACAGCCUGUGGGAGUCAGUUCUCUCUUUCCACCAUGUUCUCAGGUUGAACAACAUGGGCCUUUAUCCUCUGAGCCAUUUCUCUUUCCCCAAUUUUACAUUUUCUAAUAGUCACAUUUAAAAAGCUGAACAAGUUGGUGAAGUUAAUGCCAGAAGUAUACUCUAUAUAAUAUUGAAUCAUUAUCUUAACAAGUAAUCAAUAUAAAACUUACUGAGUUGUUUUUCAUAUGAAGCCUUUGAAAUCAAACAUGCUUUACAUAUGGAGCCAUUCUGAAUUUCCAGUGCUUAGCAGUCUGAGGCAGGGGAACUUACUAGACUAAAAGUACAACUUCAAGUUAGCAAUGUGAGCUAGAAUUGUUUUUG